rnacentral:lncRNA from 1 species
AGGGGCGGGGCUAACCCACGGAAGGCCCGGUGCAGAAUUUAAAAUUGGGCCCUUUUCUAUAGCUAAAAAUAUAUCAAAAAUAUAAAACAAAAAUAUAUAUUUGAACGAUAGUUUUUUUUUAAAAUCAAAUUACACAAUAAGCAUGUAAAAACUAAGACAUUCACUUGAAAAGUGUUGCCCUCCUUGUAAAUUUUGAAACAAAAUCACUAAUAACACUUUCAUCAUCAAUUUCUUCCGAAAGAUCACAUUCGAUCGCCAUCAAAGCAAGGCCAUUUAGUCUUUCCUGCGACAUAGUUGUCCGUAAGUGUGAUUUAAGCAACUUCAACUUUGAAAAGCUUCUUUCUGCUGAAGCAACAGUAACAGGAACCGUAAGUAAGAUUCUAUAAGCAAUCAUUACAUUUGGAAAACAAUUAAAUCGUUUCAAAAAUAUUGAUAAAUCCCUUGCUCCCAUUUUUUCUUUAGGCAACAUCUCUCUAAACAAUUUUAACUCAAUAUAUAGAUCAUGUCCAUGAAUAUCUGAUACCUCACCUUUUCUAAGUGCAUCUUCAAAGUGACUACAACAAGAUUGAAGUUUAAUAUCAUCAAGUGAUCGGAGCUUCUCAGAAUCGAACAAAAAACCAAAAAUAUUCUCAUAUAACUCAUAUUGUUCAAACCUCUUAUCUAAUGAUGCAAUUGCUUGAUCUACAAUGUAUAAAAAGUAUUGAAUUCUAAAUUCUUCCUCUAAAGAUAGUGAUGUUUCCUCACCAACCAUCUCAUCAAAUUGUCUUUUUCUACGUAUUAUACGUCUUUGAGGAAAUAUAGGGUCAGUUCCUAAUUCAUUUGCUAAUUGUUUCGCAGUUUCCAUAGCACUUGAAAAUCCAGUUUCUCUAUAACUUUUAAAAAAAGAAGCCAAACCCUUUAUCUCGCUCAUGGCAGUAUCAAUCAACAUGUCUUUUGACUGUAAAUGUUUGCUAACCAAGUUCACAACAUAUAAAAUUUCAUACCAAAUAGUUAUAGCAAGCAAAAAUUCAAAAUUACCAAGCUCAUUAACAGCUAGGGAUUUCGCUUCACUUUGUAUUUUAGUAUCGUUAUCAAUAGCAGCUACUUCAAGUACGGCUUCUCGUAUUUCAACAAUUUGGAAUCUAAUAGCCUUAACACUUUCAACACGACUUUCCCAUCGUGUGGCCGACAAUGAUUUAAGAGUAAGACCUUUCACAUGUUCUUUUAAAAUAUGCCACCUCUUUGUAGAAUUAGCAAAUAAAGUAUAAAUACGUUGGACUAUUCCAAAAAAAUCUCUUGCUUUCGUACAAGUGUUUCCAAUGUCACACAAAACUAAAUUAAGACUAUGACAACCACAUGGAGUAUAAAAAGCCCUAGGAUUCAAAUCUAAUAGUCUUUUCUGCACACCUUGAUUUUUACCUUUCAUGUUAGCUCCAUUAUCAUAUCCUUGACCUCUAACAUAUUAUCAAUAUCAAGAUCAUGAGAUUUCAAAACAUUUUCUAACACUUGAAAAAGCCCUUGACCAGUCGUAUCAUCAACUUGCAAGAAUUCAACAAAAUAUUCUCUUAUUUCAAAAGAGCUAUCAACACACCUUAGAAUUAAGGUCAUCUGCUCAUCAUGACUAGCAUCAGGCGUACAAUCCAACAUUAAAGAGAAAUACUUUGCAUCUUUUAUGGUUUUUAUAAUAACAGAUCUUAUUCUAGAAGAAAUUAAGAGUAUCAAUUCAUUUUGAAUAUCAUGGCUCAAAUAAUGAUGAUGAAUCUUUCCACUUUCAAUACGCUGAACAUGCUCUUUCAUCACAGGAUCAAUCUUGGCCAACAUCUCAAUUAAACCCAAAAAAUUGCCAUUCCUAGUUUUAUAUAGCUUUUCAUUUUUUCCGCGAAAUGCUAGGUUAUGUUUUGCAAGAUUCUUCACAAUAAUAAUAAUUCUAGUUAUAACAUCUUUCCAGUAUUCCUUCUCUUUUUUAAGUAAUUCUUGAGCAACUUUAUCAAUUGUUUCAUUUUGUGGCAAUCUAUAUCGAAGGUCACACCAAGUAGUCAUAUUCAAUACAUGAUCAACACUUGUUUCAUGUUCUUUAAGUCUAGUACUAAGGUGAGUCCAAUCAUUAAAGCCUUCAUUUGUUAAUUGACCUUUUCCAUGACCUUUUUUGAAUAUUUUACAGCAAAAACAAAAAACUUUAUCAAGCUCCUUUGAGUAAACAAGCCACUCUCUAUCACAAGUUUCACCAUUAGACAAAUAUCUAGUAUAAAAAGUUGAAGAGAAUCUUCUAGAAUAUUUAUCUUUAGGGCCAUUCACUAUAGUUAAGUCUCUUUUUGGACCAUUUACUACCAAAACAUCAAUCAAAUUUGAAUCAAGACCAUCCCAUUUUCUUGGAUCAUAUAUGUCAACUAAAAUAGAAUCAUUUUGUGUAACAUUAGUAUUGUCAUUCUCACCACCAGAAAUAUCAUCCAGAUCAUUUGAAUUAUUUGUAAUAUCCUUGUUAACAUCAUCAAUAGUAUUUUUUAAAAUUUCAGCAUUCUCACAAUCAACAACAAUUUCAUCUAACUCAUUAGAAGUACCAGAUUUUUCACCUACUUGAGGUUUUUUUGUCAAAAACUUAUGAAAAGCACCCCUUUGAGAUUCGAUGAAUUCAAUUUCUUUCUUUUUUUUACAACGCUUUUCAUAUCCUGAUUUAGACUUUCGAGUCAUAUUAACUAUUAAGCACAAUCAAAGUAAGUAAAAUUAACUAUAUAAUGUAAAAAAAAAUAGAAAGGAAUGAUAGAACCAGGCUCCAAUGAUCUCGAUGAAUUGAUGAUUUCAGAUUUCUUCUCUAAUCUCUUGCUCUAUAAAUGAAUUUGAAUUUCCACUGAGUCAUAGACUAACAUCCCAACCUACAUAAAAAAUAAAAAUUAUUGAAAAUAAUUAUUAACUAAAUUAUUAAAAUAUAAUUACAAAUUUCACACAAAAGAUUUACCUAAUUACCUUGCUUGUUGUCUGUUGAAUGUUGAUUGUUAUUUGUUAAACACUGCAGUAUAGAGAAUUGGAGAAUGGAGAUAAUGAGUUUUAGACUUGAGAGAGAUAGUAGAAGAGAAAAUAGAAUUGGAGAAAAUUGAGAACUGAGAAAGAGACGUUUGGUUUGAUCCUUCUUUAUAAUUUAGAGAGGUGGAAUACCUAAAGUCUUCAUUUAUUUUUGGUUUUGC